UACGGGGGAUGCAAGCGUUAUCCGGAAUCAUUGGGCGUAAAGCGCCUGUAGGUUGUUUAAUAAGUCUGUUGUUAAAGACUAGGGCUUAACCCUAGGAAAGCAAUGGAAACUACUAGACUAGAGUAUGGCAGGGGUAGAGGGAAUUUCUAGUGUAGCGGUGAAAUGCGUAGAUAUUAGAAAGAACACCGGUGGCGAAAGCGCUCUACUGGACCAUUACUGACACUCAGAGGCGAAAGCUAGGGUAGCAAAAGGGAUUAGAUACCCCUGUAGUCCUAGCCGUAAACGAUGGAUACUACAUGUUGUGCUUAAUGUACAGUAUGGUAGCUAACGCGUUAAGUAUCCCGCCUGGGGAGUACGUUCGCAAGGAUG
rnacentral:rRNA from 1 species